UGCAGUCGAGGGGUAACAGGUAGCUUGCUAUGCUGACGACCGGCGCACGGGUGAGUAACGCGUAUACAAUCUGCCUUGUACUGAGGGAUAGCCCAGAGAAAUUUGGAUUAAUACCUCAUAGUAUAUAGCCUCCACCUGGAGAUUAUAUUAAAGGUUACGGUACAAGAUGAGUAUGCGUUCUAUUAGCUAGAUGGUAAGGUAACGGCUUACCAUGGCAACGAUAGAUAGGGGCCCUGAGAGGGGGAUCCCCCACACUGGUACUGAGACACGGACCAGACUCCUACGGGAGGCAGCAGUGAGGAAUAUUGGACAAUGGGCGAGAGCCUGAUCCAGCCAUGCCGCGUGCAGGAUGACUGCCCUAUGGGUUGUAAACUGCUUUUAUACAGGAAGAAACACUCCCUCGUGAGGGAGCUUGACGGUACUGUAAGAAUAAGGAUCGGCUAACUCCGUGCCAGCAGCCGCGGUAAUACGGAGGAUCCAAGCGUUAUCCGGAAUCAUUGGGUUUAAAGGGUCCGUAGGUGGAUAAUUAAGUCAGAGGUGAAAUCCUGCAGCUCAACUGUAGAAUUGCCUUUGAUACUGGUUAUCUUGAGUUAUUAUGAAGUAGUUAGAAUAUGUGGUGUAGCGGUGAAAUGCAUAGAUAUCACAUAGAAUACCAAUUGCGAAGGCAGAUUACUAAUAAUUAACUGACACUGAUGGACGAAAGCGUGGGGAGCGAACAGGAUUAGAUACCCUGGUAGUCCACGCCGUAAACGAUGGUUACUAGUUGUUCGAACUUCGGUUUGAGUGACUAAGCGAAAGUGAUAAGUAACCCACCUGGGGAGUACGUUCGCAAGAAUGAAACUCAAAGGAAUUGACGGGGGCCCGCACAAGCGGUGGAGCAUGUGGUUUAAUUCGAUGAUACGCGAGGAACCUUACCAGGGCUUAAAUGUAGAUUGACAGGUUUAGAGAUAGACUUUUCUUCGGACAAUUUACAAGGUGCUGCAUGGUUGUCGUCAGCUCGUGCCGUGAGGUGUCAGGUUAAGUCCUAUAACGAGCGCAACCCCUGUUGUUAGUUGCCAGCGAGUCAUGUCGGGAACUCUAACAAGACUGCCGGUGCAAACCGUGAGGAAGGUGGGGAUGACGUCAAAUCAUCACGGCCCUUACGUCCUGGGCUACCACCGUGCUACAAUGGUAGGGACAG
rnacentral:rRNA from 1 species